rnacentral:tRNA from 1 species
AGGGGGUGGGUUCAGUAGUUAGAGCGAAGGUCUCGUAACCGAAAGGUUGCGGGAUCGAAUCCCGCAGAGGCUG